GACGAACGCUGGCGGCGUGCUUAACACAUGCAAGUCGAACGGAAAGGCCUCUUUCGGGGGGUACUCGCGUGGCGAACGGGUGAGUAACUCGCAAGUAACUUGCCCUUGUCUUUGGCUUAACUUCAGGAAACUGGGGCUAAUACCGGCUAGGUGCUCUUUUUGCCUGGAUGGGGUUGGAAAGUUUCGGGGGUUUGGGGUGGGCUCGCGGGUUAUCAGCUUGUUGGUGGGGUAGUGGGUUACCAAGGCUUUGCCGGGUCGCCGGCCUGAGAGGGUGACCGGCGACAUUGAGACUGAGAUAAGGCCCAGACACCUACGGGAGGGAGCAGGGGGGAAUAUUGCACAAUGGGUGGAAGCCUGAUGCAGCAACGCCGUGUGCGGGAUGACGGCCUUCGGGUUGAAAACCGCUUUCGCUCAUGACGAAGCUUUGUGUGACGGUAGUGGGUAAAGAAGCACCGGCUAACUACGUG
rnacentral:rRNA from 1 species